UUGCCUGACUUCAGCAGAAAUGCACGGCAGAUCGCCCAGAGCCACGCGAGCACCUGCAAUUGAAGAAUUCAGAAUCACAAGUAAUGGGUCUAAAUUGGCAGGCUUUUCAUGAGAGUCCCACCAGCCUUCAAGUAUACAGCUGCCCUGGGUCACGUAAGAUGAGCUGUUCAUUCUAACGCUGUCCCUGGAGUCCUCGGCAAGCAACUUCAUAGAACGGAGCCCCUGCUGCAGCUGAGUCCUCUUCUCCAGGAGCCCAAGUCAUUCUCCCCAGCAAAAGAGAUACCAGCACAUCCUACCAAGGCCAAAGUCAGACCUGUCCCUGGGUGGAGUCGAGCGUGGAUUUCUGGCCCCCUGGACACCCAGGAUUUCCUGAUUUGAUGGCACGAGAUAUUUUCGGUAAAAGUGAU